rnacentral:rRNA from 1 species
UACGAAGGGGGCUAGCGUUGCUCGGAAUCACUGGGCGUAAAGGGUGCGUAGGCGGGUUUUAAGUCAGGGGUGAAAUCCUGGAGCUCAACUCCAGAACUGCCUUUGAUACUGCGGAGCUUGAGUACAGAUGAGGUAGGCGGAAUUGACGGUGUAGCGGUGAAAUGCGUAGAUAUCGGGAGGAACACCAGUAGCGAAGGCGGCUCGCUGGGCCAUUCCUGACGCUGAGACGCGAAAGCUAGGGGAGCGAACGAG